AUAUCAAUAAGCGGAGGAAAAGAAACUAACAAGGAUUCCCCUAGUAACGGCGAGUGAAGCGGGAAGAGCUCAAAUUUGAAAUCUGGCACUUUCAGUGUCCGAGUUGUAAUCUCGAGAAGUAUUUUCCGCGCCGGACCGCACACAAGUCUGUUGGAACACAGCGUCAUAGUGGUGAGAACCCCGUAUAUGGUGCGGAUGCCCGGUGCUUUGUGAUAUACUUUCGAAGAGUCGAGUUGUUUGGGAAUGCAGCUCAAAUUGGGUGGUAAAUUCCAUCUAAAGCUAAAUAUUGGCGAGAGACCGAUAGCGAACAAGUACCGUGAGGGAAAGAUGAAAAGCACUUUGGAAAGAGAGUUAACAGUACGUGAAAUUGUUGGAAGGGAAACGCUUGAAGUCAGACUUGCAUUUCGGAGUUCAGCCGCAAGGUGUAUUCUUCGAUUCGCAGGCCAGCAUCAGUUUUCGGGGGUGAAAAAGCGCGGUUUGAAGGUAGCAGUUUCGGCUGUGUUAUAGCUUUCCGCUGGAUUCACUUUUGGGGACUGAGGAACGCAGCACGCUUUUUGCAAGAUUCGCGAGUCUUUCGUGCUUAGGAUGCUGGUGGAAUGGCUUUAAACGACCCGUCUUGA
rnacentral:rRNA from 1 species